AGUAAAUAGAUACCCUGGUAGUCCACGCCCUAAACGAUGGAUACUAGGCGUAAGAGGUAUCGACCCCUCUUGUGCCGCAGCUAAACGCAUUAAGUAUCCCGCCUGGGGAGUACGGCCGCAAGGUUGAAACUCAAAUGAAUUGACGGGGGACCCGCACAAGCGGUGGAGCAUGUGGAUUAAUUCGAUACUAACCGAAGAACCUUACCCAGACUUGACAUCGAUCGCAAGCCUUAGAAAUAGGGCCCUCCCCCACAAGGGGACGUGAAGACACUUGUUGCAUGGCUGUCGUCAGCUCGUGCCGUGAGGUGUACGGUUAAGUCCGCCAACGAGCGCAACCCUCGUCCUGUGUUACCAGCAUGAAAGAUGGGAACUCACAGGAGACCGCCGGUGUAAAUCGGAGGAAGUGGGGAUGACGUCAAGUCAGCAUGGCAGUUACGUCUGGGGCUUCACACAUGCUACAAUGGGCGAAACAGA
rnacentral:rRNA from 1 species